rnacentral:rRNA from 1 species
GACGAACGCUGGCGGCGCGCUUAACACAUGCAAGUCGAACGGAAAGGCCUGCUUUCCCUUGUGGAUUGCGGGUACUCGAGUGGCGAACGGGUGAGUAACACGUGAGUGAUCUGCCCCCAACUUGGGUAUAAGCCUGGGAAACUGGGUCUAAUUCCCGAUAGGACUGCAGGGUGGUGCCUGUGGUGGAAAACGAUUUUCUAGUGGUUGGGGAUGAGCUCGCGGCCUAUCAGCUUGUUGGUGGGGUAAUGGCCUACCAAGGCGGCGACGGGUAGCCGGCCUGAGAGGGUGGACGGCCACAUUGGGACUGAGAUACGGCCCAGACUCCUACGGGAGGCAGCAGUGGGGAAUAUUGCACGAUGGGCGGAAGCCUGAUGCAGCGACGCCGCGUGGGGGAUGACGGCCUCCGGGUUGUAAACUCCUUUCGACCGCGAGGAAGCCACCUGGUUGGAAGGGUGGUGACGGUAGUGGUAGAAGAAGCACCGGCUAACUACGUG